GACGAACGCUGGCGGCGUGCUUAACACAUGCAAGUCGAACGGAAAGGCCCUGCUUUUGUGGGGUGCUCGAGUGGCGAAGGGGUGAGGAACACGUGAGUAACCUGCCCUUGACUUUGGGAUAACUUCAGGAAACUGGGGCUAAGACAGGAUAGGAGCUCCUGCUGCAGGGUGGGGGUUGGAAAGUCUCGGCGGGUGGGGAUGGACUCGCGGCUGAUCAGCUUGUUGGUGGGGGAGUGGCUGACCAAGGCUUUGACGGGUAGCCGGCCCGAGAGGGUGACCGGCCACCUUGGGCCUGCGGGACGGCCCAGUCUGCUACGUGGGGCAGCAGGCGGGAGCCUUGUCCAAUGGGCGGAAGCCUGUUGCGGCGGCGCCGCGUGCGUGAUGACGUCCUUCGGGUUGUGAACCGCUUUCGCCUGUGACGAAGCGUGAGUGACGGUAAUGGGUGAAGAAGCACCGGCUAACUACGUG
rnacentral:rRNA from 1 species